AAGGGGGAGCGAGGGAGGGACGGUAGGGGUGGAGGAGAGGAGAGAAGAAAGGAGAGAGGAAGGAAGUUGGAAGUAAAGGCAAAGUGUUUAAAAUGUAACAGAACACAAUUGUUUUUUUCAAAUUGGUAGAGGGUUGGAAAGGGCAUUAACGCGAAAGAUUCAUAUGACCAGACUAAAGGGUUAUAAUUCUUCGAUGUCUUAGAAGUGUAAUGAUUUUUGCAGUUAUUUCCAUGCUAUUGGUUUCACUAAUCAAUUUGAUUUUAGACUGUUAGAGUUAUAUUCCAUUAAUUCAUGCAUGACUCUAGUCUGCCUACACUGGUAUUAUGACACCUGGUAGAGAAAGGAAGCAGCUUGGCAGCACUACUCUAAGGAGGCUAGGAGCUGGAACUACGAAGAGCAAGAAAACAACUGUAAACUAAUUUGCAACCUGUAUUCUGACAAACAUCUAUUCAGGUCUGGUACUAUUUCUAAGGGCUUACAAUUACUGGAUAAGGGGCUACUAAUAAAAUAUCAAAGCGGUUCACACUCAAUCAUACCAACACAUUAAAGCCAUGUGCCCCCAUCGAAGAUACCAGCCGGUGCUGGUGUGAGGAGAGUAAACAAAAACAGCAAACAACUGUAGCAGAUGGCUACUGAGCAGAGACCUAGUGGAGACAGGUGGUAUUCCAAAAACCAAGGACCAGUAGCUAUCUAAUAACAUACAAACACAACCUCUAUAUUUUCCAGGUCACAAAACAAAUACUGUGAUCGCAUGAAUCACCUCCACCAGGGUCAGUGUCCUAAAUGGGUCAUGGACAGGUUUACUGUGGUUAACCACAAAUAACGUAAAGUAAAAUAAAGUAACUAGUCUGAUUUGAUGGGCCAACACCAAUGUACCUAGUUCGGCUCUAGUUGAGAUAAUUUGAGAGUAAAAAAUAUAAAUGUGUAAACCCACUGCUCAUCUGCUUGGUAAAAUACUGUACAUAAAAUGUGUCAGAAAGACAAUUGCUGCUGUUUGAUAGCCAAAACCCUGAGACAGCAGCUACAAGAACCAAGAAGCAAAAUGUAUUUUAUGAAAAGAAAAAUACAUGUCAUAUGUGGGUAAUACAGAACAUGUCCACAAUGUGCAACAGAAUGGGGCUGGUGUUCAUACACAUCAGAAUGUGUUAGAAAUAAUGUAACUUCAAAAAAGAUGCAGAAAAACAUUAUAUACCAUGCAGACGCAUGCAUGAAAGGGAGACGGUCAUGCAGUCAGGAGAGAACCCUGCCAUGCUUGUUGUUUGUGUGUGUGUGAAGCAAUUUUGUUUUACACACACACUGCACCUUCUGAACAAAACACAUGAUUUUCCUCUUUCAUUUGGCAUGAUGCACCCUCUUCUUCAUUUUACUGGCCAACUGCAAUGUGUGUUCACACCAGUGACAACUAGUGUUAGUGUAGUGUUCAAAUACUGGACUUUAACUACAGAACAAUUAUUUGAAGGAAACAAAUUAAUCAUAGCCACCGAGCACUUGUAGUGAGUAACUGCAGGUUAAUUUCAUGUCUGUAUGUGUGUGUAUGUACAAAUGUGUUUAAUGUGGGGAAGCCAACAUGUCUCUUGUCAGAUCCUUGUCUGAGCCUUAGCUGUGUCUCUGAGACCUGUUGUAACUUGGGUGUGAACAUGUGUGCACAUUCAAAAGUAUGCGUGUGAUCGAUCGUGUACUGUAUUUUGCAUUCUGCAUGUGAGUAAAAACAGUGAAGGGCUUCACCUACGGUGGCACUGAAUAAUGCUUACUGUAUUAACUGCAUUUCACUGAAAGGUAAAACAACCACAGAAUUCCUCGCAGACUAACAGCAACAACUUGUAAUCAUUUGUGAGUUUAGAGUCAGUGGUAAAAAAUAACAUCUUCAUUCAUGCUAGCUUGGCAAAAGUACAUCCUGUUGCUUCUUAAUCUCUAUUGCUAGACUGUAAAUGGUGUUUCACACACAGCUGAGCUGUAGACAAAAAGAGGUCACACAGUAGGCUCACGUGUGUGUUAAAUCCUCAGCUGCUUUGUUUUUCCACUCAUCUGUUUUAACCUCAAUAACGUUUUGUUUCUUCUUCCAUUUACAGUAGGCUAUAUUUAGUUAGGGGAUUCCCUGAAGUCUUCCAUGCCUCACUGCAUGGUGCCCCACGAUUAAGCCCCUGUAAAACCCGGUGGAAAGUUCAAACCUCUCUGGGUCAAAAUGGUGACACUAUAAAAACCUUUUUGAUGGUCAGACAGACCUUUGCAGAGUGACAUGUGGAGACAUGCAAUGGAAAAAAAAAAAAUCACUUUGGACAACCAUCCCCUUCCAAUAUCGCUGAGCUGACAGGUCAAAUGAACAGUACUCCAAAGCCACAGCGUUCAAGGAUGCUGUCAGCAACUUCCAUCACUCGAAGGGUCAAAGCCCUUUAUAGAAAAUAUAUUUUUUAUAUCUGGUAAAAUAUCCAUUCUAAUUGUUAGCUAAUACAAUUUUAACAGCAAGCACAGUGAACCAUCAGGUCCUUGGCAAUUUCAGUUACACAAUACAUUUUUGACAGGUGACUCUGUCCAAGCAGCCAAGAGCCAAACACUCAAAAUAGCCAGUCUUACACUAACAGCAACAUUUCCAUCACUAUCAAUCAUACAAAAUCUCUUGCUCAGAUAUACUGCUCACACACACACACACACACACACACACACACACACACACACACACACACACACACACACACACACACACACACACACAGACAGACAC